GUGUGUGUGUGUGUGUGUGUGUGUGUGUGUUUCCAUUGAUCAGCACUGUCUGGCACAUAAUAGGUGAUUCAUAAAUGCCUGCUUGGCCACAUAGGAAACCCACGGGGCAGAGGUAGGAAAAAUGUUUGAAGAAUGAAUUAAUUGGGUAAAUAGGCCAGUUUCCAACACUUCAAAAUCAGAAUUUGACUAGAAAAAGGUCAUUGACCAAAAUUAACCAAAGAUGCCCCAGUACCAUUAACCUUGGUGCUCAGCUCCCAAUGUUGGCCAGCAGGUGGCGCUGGGCUCCAGCGCCUCUGGAGGAAAAGAUAGCAUGCUGGAGGAAGAUGGGGAUCUGGAAGUCUUUAGGGACCCUGGGCUCAGGUGGGGGAGGGGUGCUUUGGGGCCUGAGAGUCGUCCUCCCCUGAAUGGGGCUCCAUCUGGCCCAAGCCCCCUCUGAAUCAGUUUCUAGAUCAGCUGCUGCUACCCCUCCAUCCCCCAGGAGGUUUGGUUUACCAGGGAUUGCACAAGCAAUAUUGGUAAUACUCAAGGAGUGAGCAUGGGGUGCUCCUGCUCCAAUGGGCCCUUCAGGUCACCCCAAUUUAUCCUGGGACUUCUAAGUAUAUUUCUAUUUUUGGUAUCUGUGGUUUUGCCCCAAGCUUCCUACACUGGCAGAGACCCAGAGAAAUGAAUUUCCAUGUGAAUAAGACUCUUUUACUUCCAGGAGCCCCCCUUUUGCUUCUAUCUUUCUCCCCUUGGCAUCUUUCAGCCCAUCUUCCUCCUUUUCUGGGAGCCUUUGCUUCCAUUUCUUCCUCUCUCUCUCCUCCCUCCUGCUGUCAUCUGAGACAUUCGUUGCUCUUUACCUCUCUCCCUUUCUCUUUCCUCUCCAUUUCUGUCUGCCUCCAUCUCUCUCUAUUCCUUUGUGUCUUCUUGCUUUCCUUCUCUCAGUUCUCCAAUAUCAGACUCCAGUCUGUCCCCUUUCCUUUCCUAUUCUACUUCUCUCCUCUAUCAUUUCUCCUUCUUUGACUUGCUCUAUCUCCUUCCUCCUCUGUUUUUUCUUUCCUUUUUGCCAUUUCUUCUACAUAAGACUCUUCUCUCUCUUUCCUGUCUCCAUUCUCUGUCUCUGUCUCUAUCUCUCUGUCUCUCUAUCUCUGUCUCUCUCUGUCUCUGUCUCUCUCUCUCUGUCUCUCUCUCUGUCUCUAUCUCUCUGUCUCUCUAUCUCUGUCUCUCUCUGUCUCUGUCUCUAUCUCUGUCUCUGUCUCUAUCUCUCUGUCUCUCUCUCUCUGUCUCUCUCUCUGUCUCUAUCUCUCUGUCUCUCUAUCUCUGUCUCUCUCUGUCUCUGUCUCUAUCUCUGUCUCUAUCUCUGUCUCUGUCACUAUCUCUCUCUGUCUCUCUAUCUCUGUCUCUCUCUGUCUCUGUCUCUCUCUUACUGUCUAUCUGUUGGCCUCUCUCUCUCUCUCACUCUCUCUCUGUCUGUUUGUCUGUCUGUCUGUCUCUCCUUUUUUCUGGGCAGUCAGUAGCAGAGCAAGGGUAGAACCCAGGUUGGCUGUUGAGACACUUGGUGCUUUUUCCAUCAUCUCAUGUUUUGGUUCUGCCUCAUCUUGGUAUCACCUUUCCCCAUCCCUGCCCAGUGUAGGGGAAGUCUAGGAUGACAUGGCAAUCAGCACAUAGCUCUGGCUAUAGUUCCAAUGUGGGACUAUAUGUUCUAAGAUUUCCCCCAUUUUUCUGGGAUGGUAUUGGAGCGUUCAAAUGUGAUAUGACUAGUGGUGUUGCUGACUCCACCAGUUAUUAACCAGCACAUGUGUCUGUGGUGGAGAGGUUGGUUCUGAUGGUUGAGCCUUGACCAGGGAAGGUGGGGCACUUGUCUUGGCAGUAACUAGGUAAAGCUAUCAGAUAAAUAUUUACUACUGAUAAUAGCUAGCAUUUACGUUGUGUUUUCAAAGUGCUUUAUAAACAUCUACUUGAUCCUUGCAACAACUUUGGUAGGGAGGUGCUAUUAUUAUCCUAAAUUUACAGAUGGGGAAACUGAGGCAGACAGAGAUUGAGUGACCUACUCAGCACCACACCUCUAAGAAGCAUGUGAUAAAGUAUUUAAACUCGGGUUUUUCUGACUCUUAAUCUACAAUCUACAGAAAUUGCCUCUUAAAUUUGUAGAAUGAAUUGAGAUUGAGCUGUAAAUUGUACUUGACCAGCAGGGGAUCCCCUGACCCAGAUCUUCAAAUAGUUCAUGGGGCUGGAUGGUUUCUAGAGUUUGUGUCUCAGAGGGAGGAAACAGAUCAGCCUGAGCCAAAGCCCACAGCAAUUAUCAAAGGCUUAGGGAAACACGAGAGUCCUCUAUGAUUCCUUUGGUAGUUUAUUUGAUUUCUCAAAGGGAAGACGGCAUGAUGUCAUGAAAAGAGCCUGGGUUUGGAGGGAGAAGACCUGGGUUCAGAUCUUGGCAUUGUAUUUUGCUUCCCUGUGUGAUGUUAAGUAAGUCAUUUCCUACCUUAUCUGUCAAAUGUCAGUCAGACUAAAGGAUCUCUGAGGCCCCUUCCAGCGCUAACUUCUGGAUCUUGUAAUGAUUUGCUAAGGAAGCCUACCUGUAUGAUAAUCUGAAGAAUGGAGCAGAAUCUCAGGGAUUAGGGAACUUGGAUAGUGACUAAUCACACCACUGUUUUGGAAGAUGGAGGCAGAAUUUAGUUGGGGUAAUCAAAGGGAAGGAGAGGCAGAGACUGGUGAAUUCCAGUACCGGCCCCUUGAAUGAACACUAGCCCAAAGGGUAAUGGGAUGUCAUGGAGGAGGGCGGGUUCCUGCUUAUUUGAGACCUUCACGCAAAAAUGACAUGAGCAUUUGCUGUAGAAGGGAUUCUAUUCUGGGUUCUGGUUUGAGCUAGAGAACCGCUAUGGUUCCUUUUAAUUCUGAAAAUUUGUGAUUCUGGGUGAAUUGAUCAUUGACCCAAAGAGACUUUAGUGCAGAAGGGUGCAGCUAUCCUAUAUGGGUGUCCUGGGGAGUUUUCCCUUAAAUGAGUUAGGAGAAAAAAAAAGAAGUUACCUCCUUUGGAACAAUGAGAAAUCAGUCUCAGAGAAAUAGAUACAGAUGUGUCCAGACUAUGAAAACCCCUACUCUAGCUGGCCAUGCCCCUUCCAUACCCCUUUGUGACUGAGGUUGCAGGAAUGCAGGAACACUUCCCUGGAGAGGGCAAGGCAGCUAGGUAGAAAGGAACAACAUGUUCUUGAGUUUCCCCUCCCCCAGAUCUCUUGUGUUCUAUAAUAAAAUGUUUGUAGACCAAAUGAUUCCUCCA
rnacentral:lncRNA from 1 species